GUGGGGAAUCUUCCGCAAUGGACGAAAGUCUGACGGAGCAACGCCGCGUGAGUGAUGAAGGUCUUCGGAUUGUAAAGCUCUGUUAAUCGGGACGAAAGAGCCUAGUGUGAAUAAUGCUAGGAAGUGACGGUACCGGAAUAGAAAGCCACGGCUAACUACGUGCCAGCAGCCGCGGUAAUACGUAGGUGGCAAGCGUUGUCCGGAAUUAUUGGGCGUAAAGCGCGCGCAGGCGGAUCUGCCAGUCUGUCUUAGAAGUUCGGGGCUUAAACCCGUGAUGGGAUGGAAACUACAGAUCUAGAGUAUCGGAGAGGAAAGUGGAAUUCCUAGUGUAGCGGUGAAAUGCGUAGAUAUUAGGAAGAACACCAGUGGCGAAGGCGACUACCUGGACUGAUACUGACACUGAGGUGCGAAAGCGUGGGGAGCAAACAGGAUUAGAUACCCCAGUAGUCC
rnacentral:rRNA from 1 species